GGAGUUGUGCUGUUGUUUCCAUAUACAAGCACGUCAUUAAUGCACUUUCAUUGUUUAUUUUGCUGUUGAAAUGUGUCGGCGAAUGUUUUUAAAUGUAUUUACAAUAAGUCAAGUGAAGUGUGCAUUACACAAGAUAAGAAGAACGUGUGAUGGAACCAGGCCCGGUUCCUGCAGGUGCAAAAGGGUGGGCUAGAUAUCAUGGGUCUGGCUGAUGUUGAAAGUGUCUCGGUAUUGAACUGCACUGAAAAUGAAAUAACAAUGGAAUGGAAUAAAGUGCACAACAUCAACAAUUAUGUUUAAGUGAUAUUGACUGAUAACAUAAAGAGUUUCAUCAGAGGGUCUGAUAACGUUUCUGUAGUCAGACAAACGGUUUCCUCUCUCUAUCCUGGACGGAUACACUACUUUAUGCUCCACGCUGUAUUAAACAGAGAAAUGAGUGCUGGAUAUCUUUUCCAUGCAGCUACAGCUCCAUCAAAAGCCAACGGCCUUCACUGCGAGUAUUCGUGGAUGGGGAGUAUUAGAACUCUGAAUUGGGAUGCUCAGUUUGGAUUGAGAUCUGAAUUUGAGCUUCGGGUCAACAGUGGAAUUCCAGAACAGGUGAACGUCACAAGAUAUCAGAUUGAUGAUGUGCCUUCAGCUGUACAGUAUGACUUCACUGUGACAUCACUUUCUAAAGAUGGGAGAAGUGGUCCAGUGUCAAUCACAUUUCAAACCAACAAAUCAGGUGCAUUUUCAUUAUACUGUUCAUUACAGCCUGAUAUCUAAAACACGUAAACACAAGAAGCCUUUGGAUGCAUUAUUGAUGAAAGUUGUGAUACGAAAUAAAUGCAAAAAAUUAUUAUAUCCUACCUAUUACGUAUUCUUAUAUUUUUGGCUUUUCUUCUUCACAGUUGCAAUUACAGUAUGUGUGUUGAUUGUUCUUUUAAUAAUU